GCCUAGAUGGCGGAAUGGCAGACGCAGUAGACUCAAAAUCUACCGAUGAAUAAUCAUAAGGGUUCAAGUCCCUUUCUAGGCACCA
rnacentral:tRNA from 1 species